GGACCUUGCGGGAAAAGGUGGCCUCUGACGCAAGCUGCCGUUCCAGGAUGGGUCCGCGUCCCAUUAGCUAGUUGGCGGGGUAAGGGCCCACCAAGGCGACGAUGGGUAGCUGGUCUGAGAGGACGAACAGCCACACUGGAACUGAGACACGGUCCAGACUCCUACGGGAGGCAGCAGUGGGGAAUUUUGCGCAAUGGGCGAAAGCCUGACGCAGCGACGCCGCGUGGGUGAUGAAGGCCUUCGGGUCGUAAAGCCCUGUCGGAGGGAAAGAAAUGUGCUGGUGCCAAUACCACCUGCACUUGACGGUACCCUCAAAGGAAGCACCGGCUAACUCCGUGCCAGCAGCCGCGGUAA
rnacentral:rRNA from 1 species